AGCAGCCGCGGUAAUUCCAGCUCCAAUAGCGUAUAUUAAAGUUGUUGCAGUUAAAAAGCUCGUAGUUGAAUUUCGGGGUUAGCAAGUCGGUCGUGCCAUCGGUAUGAACUGGUCUCGCUGAUCCCUCCCUCUUGACGAACUGUGAUGCCAUUAAUUUGGUGUCGCAGGGAAUCAGGACUGUUACUUUGAAAAAUUAGAGUGUUUAAAGCAGGCUCACGCUUGAAUACAUUAGCAUGGAAUAAUGAAAUAGGACGUUUGAUCCUAUUUUGUUGGCUUCUAGGAUUGACGUAAUGAUUAAUAGGGAUAGUUGGGGGCAUUAGUAUUCAAUUGUCAGAGGUGAAAUUCUUGGAUUUAUUGAAGACUAACUACUGCGAAAGCAUUUGCCAAGGAUGUUUUCAUUAAUCAAGAACGAAAGUUAGGGGAUCGAAGACGAUCAGAUACCGUCGUAGU
rnacentral:rRNA from 1 species